GACAGAGGGUGCAAACGUUGUUCGGAAUUACUGGGCGUAAAGCGCGUGUAGGCGGCUAUGCAAGUCGGAUGUGAAAGCCCUCGGCUCAACCGGGGAAGUGCACCCGAAACUGCAAGCUAGAGUCUCGGAGAGGAUCGGUGGAAUUCUCGGUGUAGAGGUGAAAUUCGUAGAUAUCGAGAGGAACACCGGUGGCGAAGGCG
rnacentral:rRNA from 1 species